GUGCUCACUUUGGCAGCACAUCUACUAAAAGUGGAACAAUAUAGAGAAGAUUAGCAUGGCCCCUGUGCAAGGAUGACACGCAAAUUCUUGAAAAAGAAAACAAAGCU
rnacentral:snRNA from 1 species